rnacentral:rRNA from 1 species
CUUUAGUAAUUGCGAAUGAACAAGGAUAUGCUUAGCUUGACAAAUGGAGCUAUUGGCUUUGAAUUGUAUUGUGGAAAUGUAUUACCAACAGAGGUGCAGGUGCCAGCCUAUUGAAAUAAAGCGUCAAUGAGGGUGAGAAUCCUGUUUGUCAUGUGCAGCCCUUUGUGCACGGUGUAUAUUUGCUGAGUCACACUCCUUGGCAUUGGAAUGCAAAGUGGGUGGUAAGUUUCAUGUAAAGGUAAACAUGCAAUUGAGACUGAUAGCACACAAGUACCAUGAGGGAAAUAUGAAAAGGACUUUGAAAAGAGAAUUAAAUGAGUUUGUAUUUGCUGAACACAAAGUAAACAGACUUGAUUUGCUUGGUGGGAGUGUUGCACUUGCUUGACAAGAGCUUUGGGCUGUGGGUGUAAUGAUUCUUUCUUUGCAUGCCAGUUUCUAUUUGUACAUCUGAUUACCUUUGCACAUGAAUGAUAAGUCUCCUGUGGGGGGUGGAUUGCAUGUGCAUGUAAUGAUUUGUGUUUUGAUAAAUGUGUCUGGUGUAUGUGUGUGUUCCUGUGCUUGGGGAUGCUUCCUUCCUUGGACUUACAAGCCCUGACACACACAUGCUGGCAAAAUGCUUCUGCUUGACCCGUCUUGAAACACGGACCAAGGAGUCUAACAGAUGUGCAAAGUUUGAAGGUGGUAUACCUUUGUGUGCAAUGAAAGUGUCAGCUGGGAUAUGUGCACCAGCACCCAAUUAAUUAGCGGACAGAGGUUUGAGUUGGAGCAUAUCUAUUAGGACCCGAAAGAUGGUGAACUAUGCCUGAACAGAAUGAAUUCAGAGGAAACUCUGAUGGAGGUUCGUAUCGAUACUGACGUGCAAAUCGUUCGUCAUAUUUGGGUAUAGGGGCGAAAGACUAAUCGAACCAUCUAGUAGCUGGUUCCCUCCGAAGUUUCCCUCAGGAUAGCUGGAGUUGCUCAGUUUUAUCAGGUAAAGCGAAUGAUUAGAGGAAUUGGGGACAGGUUUGUCUUUGACCUAUUCUCAAACUUUAAAUGGGUAAUAUGUAGUGGUUGCUGUAUGGAACUUCUAAGAUAAAUGG